UACGAAGGGGGCUAGCGUUGCUCGGAAUCACUGGGCGUAAAGCGCACGUAGGCGGACUCUUAAGUCGGUGGUGAAAUCCUGGAGCUCAACUCCAGAACUGCCUUUGAUACUGGCGGUCUCGAGUCCGGGAGAGGUGAGUGGAACUGCGAGUGUAGAGGUGAAAUUCGUAGAUAUUCGCAAGAACACCAGUGGCGAAGGCGGCUCACUGGCCCGGUACUGACGCUGAGGUGCGAAAGCGUGGGGAGCAAACAGG
rnacentral:rRNA from 1 species